UGGGGAAUCUUGCGCAAUGGGCGAAAGCCUGACGCAGCGACGCCGCGUGGGGGAUGAAGGCCUUCGGGUUGUAAACCCCUUUCAGCAGGGACGAAGCGAAAGUGACGGUACCUGCAGAAGAAGCGCCGGCUAACUACGUGCCAGCAGCCGCGGUAACACGUAGGGCGCAAGCGUUGUCCGGAAUUAUUGGGCGUAAAGAGCUCGUAGGCGGACUGUUGCGUCCGCUGUGAAAAGCUGGGGCUUAACCCUGGCCUUGCAGUGGAUACGGGCAGACUAGAGGUAGGUAGGGGAGAAUGGAAUUCCCGGUGUAGCGGUGAAAUGCGCAGAUAUCGGGAGGAACACCGGUGGCGAAGGCGGUUCUCUGGGCCUUACCUGACGCUGAGGAGCGAAAGCGUGGGGAGCGAACAGGAUUAGAUACCCCCGUAGUCC
rnacentral:rRNA from 1 species